AUUGAACGCUGGCGGCAGGCCUAACACAUGCAAGUCGAGCGGAUGAAGGGAGCUUGCUCCUGGAUUCAGCGGCGGACGGGUGAGUAAUGCCUAGGAAUCUGCCUGGUAGUGGGGGAUAACGUCCGGAAACGGGCGCUAAUACCGCAUACGUCCUGCGGGAGCAAGUGGGGGAUCUUCGGACCUCACGCUCUCAGAUGAGCCUAGGUCGGAUUAGCUAGUUGGUGGGGUAAAGGCCUACCAAGCCGACGAUCCGUAACUGGUCUGAGAGGAUGAUCAGUCACACUGGAACUGAGACACGGUCCAGACUCCUACGGGAGGCAGCAGUGGGGAAUAUUGGACAAUGGGCGAAAGCCUGAUACAGCCAUGCCGCGUGUGUGAAGAAGGUCUUCGGAUUGUAAAGCACUUUAAGUUGGGAGGAAGGGCAGUAAGUUAAUACCUUGCUGUUUUGACGUUACCAACAGAAUAAGCACCGGCUAACUUCGUG
rnacentral:rRNA from 1 species